rnacentral:rRNA from 1 species
UACGUAGGUGACCAGCGUUGUCCGGAUUUACUGGGCGUAAAGCGCACGUAGGCGGAUAUUUAAGUCAGGGGUGAAAUCCCAGAGCUCAACUCUGGAACUGCCUUUGAUACUGGGUAUCUUGAGUAUGGAAGAGGUGAGUGGAAUUCCGAGUGUAGAGGUGAAAUUCGUAGAUAUUCGGAGGAACACCAGUGGCGAAGGCGGCUCACUGGUCCAUUACUGACGCUGAGGUGCGAAAGCGUGGGGAGCAAACAGG